rnacentral:rRNA from 1 species
CUUCUCUGAUGUUAGCGGCGGACGGGUGAGUAACACGUGGAUAACCUACCUAUAAGACUGGGAUAACUUCGGGAAACCGGAGCUAAUACCGGAUAAUAUUUUGAACCGCAUGGUUCAAAAGUGAAAGACGGUCUUGCUGUCACUUAUAGAUGGAUCCGCGCUGCAUUAGCUAGUUGGUAAGGUAACGGCUUACCAAGGCAACGAUGCAUAGCCGACCUGAGAGGGUGAUCGGCCACACUGGAACUGAGACACGGUCCAGACUCCUACGGGAGGCAGCAGUAGGGAAUCUUCCGCAAUGGGCGAAAGCCUGACGGAGCAACGCCGCGUGAGUGAUGAAGGUCUUCGGAUCGUAAAACUCUGUUAUUAGGGAAGAACAUAUGUGUAAGUAACUGUGCACAUCUUGACGGUACCUAAUCAGAAAGCCACGGCUAACUACGUGCCAGCAGCCGCGGUAAUACGUAGGUGGCAAGCGUUAUCCGGAAUUAUUGGGCGUAAAGCGCGCGUAGGCGGUUUUUUAAGUCUGAUGUGAAAGCCCACGGCUCAACCGUGGAGGGUCAUUGGAAACUGGAAAACUUGAGUGCAGAAGAGGAAAGUGGAAUUCCAUGUGUAGCGGUGAAAUGCGCAGAGAUAUGGAGGAACACCAGUGGCGAAGGCGACUUUCUGGUCUGUAACUGACGCUGAUGUGCGAAAGCGUGGGGAUCAAACAGGAUUAGAUACCCUGGUAGUCCACGCCGUAAACGAUGAGUGCUAAGUGUUAGGGGGUUUCCGCCCCUUAGUGCUGCAGCUAACGCAUUAAGCACUCCGCCUGGGGAGUACGACCGCAAGGUUGAAACUCAAAGGAAUUGACGGGGACCCGCACAAGCGGUGGAGCAUGUGGUUUAAUUCGAAGCAACGCGAAGAACCUUACCAAAUCUUGACAUCCUUUGACAACUCUAGAGAUAGAGCUUUCCCCUUCGGGGGACAAAGUGACAGGUGGUGCAUGGUUGUCGUCAGCUCGUGUCGUGAGAUGUUGGGUUAAGUCCCGCAACGAGCGCAACCCUUAAGCUUAGUUGCCAUCAUUAAGUUGGGCACUCUAAGUUGACUGCCGGUGACAAACCGGAGGAAGGUGGGGAUGACGUCAAAUCAUCAUGCCCCUUAUGAUUUGGGCUACACACGUGCUACAAUGGACAAUACAAAGGGCAGCGAAACCGCGAGGUCAAGCAAAUCCCAUAAAGUUGUUCUCAGUUCGGAUUGUAGUCUGCAACUCGACUACAUGAAGCUGGAAUCGCUAGUAAUCGUAGAUCAGCAUGCUACGGUGAAUACGUUCCCGGGUCUUGUACACACCGCCCGUCACA